GGUGAUUAUAAGAAAAAUAUAGUUCAGCGUAUGACAACGCAAGGUCUAUCUAUUUGCGUUUUUGUCUAAUCGAGAGUUUACCCUUUAUACGGGAAAAUACACUACAUAACCAGCUACAAAUUAUUCCUGUGUUUUAAAACUAUAUUCCAAAUGUGGCAGUAGCACAUACGUCACAUGUUGUCAUUGCAGAAUAAGCCUUGGGAAAUUUAAAGUAACAGGAGUAAACGACGUUGUCUGGUAGGCUGGUAGGUGGAUUCUAUCUAGGGCUUUAAUCUACUGAAUUCAUAUCAUUUAUAGAGGAAUUAACGAUUGGGUAUUAUAGACAUUACCAUCUAAAAACGUCUAUAAAUCUUAGUAUUUACUUAUCUUUUUCAACUGCUGUAAACUCAUGAAACUAGGUGAUAGCUGUUAGUACUUUCAACCCUAAAGUCUACUUGAUAUUCUCUUGAACUUUCUCUUCAUAUCCCUCUUUGUCUUAUUCUUUCAAACAUGCACACACAGAUGAACAUUCAUCCUACUGUGUCACGUUUGAUGCAGCACAGCAUAUGAAAACCAAGGUACAGUGAAGGGAACUUGUCUUAACAAUCGUUGUCCCCCUAAAUAAUUAUACACUGGAGUAAUUAUGAUCCUUCAAUUAAAAGGACUGAUAACGAGUGAGGGAAUUGGGGGCAAUUAAGUAGCCUAACCACAGUUGUAUUGGAGGAGAGCUGAAGAGAGAGGAGAGAGGGAUAGCAAGAGAGAGAUUGCACAGUGUUUUAUUCUUUAUGUAAGGAGCUUAUGUUGUGGGGUUUUGUGGAGGAGAGUUAAUGCAAACAGAUGGGCACCCUGUUGCCCUCCCUCACAUAUUCUUUCUUCUAGAGUUGGACAGCACAGCGGUCAACCUGCUGCCCCAGAGCCAGGGAAACGCCAUGGAAAAUGAUGGAAAACAAACAAAAAAAUUGUGUCUGAUUUCAAAUAUGUCCCCUAAGACACAUAUUCAUCAAUUUGACUGAUAAAGUGUCUUUUUGAUCAGCAGUCUGCCCACAGGCAUCAGACCCUCACACUAACAAGUGGUCUCUGAAGAGAAUGAUGCUGGCUCUUAGUGAUGUAACCACAAUGCUCUUUGUCAGGGCCAUUGUGUGAAGAAGACCACUGUAAAGCUUUGUGUGUAUCCACUCAUGUCUGUAUGUUCAUGCACAUAUGUAAAUGUUUGUGUGUUUGUGGACUUCAAAACGCACUCGUCACCAGGCUUCUGCGAACAUGUCUGCCUCUGAUGAGCACACACUGUUUCAUGACUUUUCUGUUGUCAUUUUGUCAUUUGGUUGAUAAAGCUUGUGUGUACAUAU